rnacentral:rRNA from 1 species
CAUGCGCGAAGCGUGUAAGGGACUCUGAGUGUCUAGGGAUUCUUCAGCUUUUCUCUAGCGUAAAUUACUUGGAAAAUAAAGACUGGGUAAUACAAGUGCCCGGCCGCCGCGUAAUACGGGAAAUCCAAGUGGUGUCCGUGUAUAUUGGGCUUAACGCGUCCGUAGCUGGUCUGGAAUGUCUUUGGAGAAAACCCGCGGCUCCCCGGGGAAAGUGCUAGGGAAACUUUCGAAUUGGAAGGGGGAAAGGUCGGAAGUACUUCUGGGGGAGCGGGAAAAUGUGUUGAUCCCCGAAGGACCCCCGGUAAAAAAGGGCUCUGACUAAAACGCCCUCCACUGGGAGGGGCGAAGGGCCGGGAAGCAACCCGGAUUAAAUACCCGGGUAAUCCUGGACGAAAAUGAUGCAAAAUAGGUGUCCUGCUACCUUCACGUUUUUGUGGUGGCGAAGGGGAACCGUUUUCUUUGCCGCCUGGGGAGUACGGUCCCAAGAUUGAAACUUAACGGAAUUGGGGGGGGAGCACA